rnacentral:lncRNA from 1 species
AGUGAUAGGACUAUUUUUGCGAAGAGAAAAAGAGAUAUAACCUGGCAGGGAAGGGAAUUGUAGCAUCGACAGCCAAUGACCACUCCUUAAAAGAAGGAAUCGACAGACUGAACUAAGGAACUAGGAAAGCACAGUAAGCCAGAAGAAUUGUUGGUGAGAUUGUUCGCCGUUCUUUCGCCUUCAAGAUCGGGCAUCACACAACAAGGAAAUAUCAGGUUGAAAUUGCUAUACCUGACAUUAUGGAAACUACAAUGCAAGUAGCUUUUGUAGUGGAAAGAAAUUAUCAGAGAAGAAAUAAAGCUUGAGAAAUGAUUAGACCCUCGAGACACUAGAUACAACAUAUACAACAUAGCCCAACCUCGAUGGCUGGAUGGAGAAGUCCGAGAUCCAGACUACCAACACCCGAGGACUCGAGAAGUGAUAGGCUCAACUGUAUGUGUGUAAAUAAGUACAUACAUGUGCGGAAUUGUGCUUAUAUAAGUCCAAAUAUCCAACUUACUGUGUCUUUCUAUGGAUAUUGUCUUCUCAUUCCAAAAAUCUACUGUACACUUAGGUCAUAUAUGUUGCGCUCUAACCCUGUAUCAUUUUCUUUCUUCGAAUUUCUUUCCUUUAAUGGUUGAAAUUGCUUUACCUGACAUUAUGGAAACUACAAUGCAAGUAGCUUUUGUAGUGGAAAGAAAUUAUCGGAGAAGAAAUGAAGCUUGAGAAAUGAUUAGACCCUCGAGACACUAGAUACAACAUUGA